UGGGAGUGUGUGUGUGUGUGUGUGUGUUUGCGUGCGUGCGUACACACACACACACACACACACACACACACACA
rnacentral:miRNA from 1 species